rnacentral:lncRNA from 1 species
AAGCCUGCAUCCUGAGCUUCCAGGACUCAUGGGUGUCUCCAGAAAGGGAAAAAUGAAUAAUGAUGACAACAAUGGUGAUGGUGGUGAUGAUGGUGAUGGUGGUGAUGAUGGUGAUGAUAGUGAUGGUGGUGAUGAGAAUGAUGAUGGUGGUGAUGAUGGUGGCAGUGGUAACAAUAGUGAUGAUGAUGAUGGUGGUGAUGAUAGUGGUGAUGGUGGUGGUGGUGGUGAUGGUGGUGACGAUGGUGGUGAUGAUGGUGAUGAUAGUGAUGGUGGUGAUGAGGAUGAUGGUGGUGGUGAUGAUGGUGGCGGUGAUAACAGUAGUGAUGAUGAUGGUGGUGAUGGUUAUGGUAACAAUGAUGAUAAUGAUGGUGAUGAUGGUGAUGAUGAUGACUAUGAAGGUGAUGUGAUGGUGACGAUGGUGAUGGUGGUGGUGAUGGUGAUGAUGGUGAUAGUGGUGAUGGUGGUGGUGGUGAUGGUUGUGAUGGUGAUGGUAAUGAUGGUGAUGGUGGUGGUAAUAGUGAUGGUGAUGGUGACGAUGGUGGUGGUGAUGAUGAUGAUGGUGAUGAUAGUGAUGACGAUGGUGGUGAUGAUGUUGAUGAUAGUGAUNNNNNNNNNNGGUGAUGAUGGUGAUGGUGGUGGCGAUGGUGAUGACUGUGACAAUGAUGAUGCAGCUGCCCAGUGUUUAGUGAGCACUUGCUGCAUGCCAGGUGCUUUUGCAGACAUGUUCUCAGUCUGCACAACCCAUUUGCUGCACAGGGAAUGUGUCUCCAUUUUUGUGGAUGAGGCUCAUAGGACUGAAGGGGCAAGCCCAAGGUCACAGAGUGGCAAACAGGUAGCAUGCGGCAGUGGCUGGCCUGUCACUCAGUGUGCAGCCUCAGCAGGAGAGAUCAUGGGAGGGCCAGGAGAGAAAACUUCUCCUUUCCCUGGGGGCAGAAGUUUCUCACCUCCUGUGCUGACUGAGGCAGAGGUGUGGGCCAUGCCUCUGCCUCUACACGUGGCAAGCCAGACACAAGCUUCUUUCUUAGUCCCUCUGUCCAUGAAGUGGAGGCCACAGUCUGGGCCAGUGAGAACCAAAGACAUGCCAGGAAAACCACAACACAUCAUUGUUUUGUGACUGUUGCUCAUGCAUGAGAACCACUGGGAAUACGCGUGCUAAGGACAGUGUGGAGGAGCAAACCCACUCUGCUCUCAGGGUAGGAGCCUGAAUGGGCAUGACUUUUCAGAAGGCGUGGCUAUGGCACCAAUGCCCCACACAUCAUCACGGCGAUGUGGGGUCCACUUCCAGGACCGCAUCCGACAGUACACGCAGCAGAAAUGCUAGGAAGGGCCUUCGCAUGUGCACACACAUGCAGGACACCCACACAACGCUCACAGGACGCCCACAGGAUGCCACAGGUCCUGUGUGCAAGUGCAGUCGCAGGAAACAGCCACAGCAUAAGUGCCCGCUGCCUAGGGGCGAUGACAGCAUCAUUGCAUGUCCCUAAAUGAGAAACGCUUUAACCAAAAGUCAGAAGGCCAAUUCUAACGCUGGCCUCCCUCUGCCUCUGAGGCUUUGCCUAUUCCUCCCUCUGCCUCUGAGGGUUUGCCUAUGCCUCCCUCUGCCUCUGAGGGUUUGCCUAUGCCUCCCUCUGCCUCUGAGGUUUUGCCUAUGCCUCCCUCUGCCUCUGAGGGUUUGCCUAUGCCUCCCUCUGCCUCUGAAGCUUUGCCUAUGCCUCCCUCUGCCUCUGAGGGUUUGCCUAUGCCUCCCUCUGCCUCUGAGGCUUUGCCUAUGCCUCCCUCUGCCUCUGAGGCUUUGCCUAUGCCUCCCUCUGCCUCUGAGGCUUUGCCUAUGCCUCUCUCUGCCUCUGAGGGUUUGCCUAUGCCUCCCUCUGCCUCUGAGGCUUUACCUACUCCCUCUGCCUCUGAGGCUUUGCCUAUGCCUCCCUCUGCCUCUGAGGGUUUGCCUAUGCCUGGCAUUUCAUGUGGAUGGCAUCAGGCUGGACGUGGCCUUUUGUGACUGGCUGCUUCCACUCUGCCUGUGCCCAGGCACCCUGUGCCCAGAGUGCAUCAGACUACGUUCCUUUGGGCGCCUGGAUGAUGCUGCGCCUGUGGGCGCCCGUACUAAUGUUUUCAAUGAGGACCAAUUCCCUGUCAGUGUGACCACUUCCCAGUCUCUUGGGGACUGAAGCGCUCCCAGGAUGUGGGGCCUUCAGGGGCAGAAGUGGCUGGCAGAGGUGCUAGCCCUCGCCUCUGAGAAGGGAGCCCCUCUGGGGAAUCUGGGGAGCUCCCACCUGUGUUCCAUCCUUACCCUUCUGACUCAGGCCCUCAGAGGGCCAGGGGGAGGCAGCCCCCAGCCCCUGCUUGGCUGUGGUAUGAGGUGAGACCCCUGGAGGGGCUUCCGCUAGGCAGCGAUGUGCGGUUGGUGGGAGGAAUUAAAUCACGUCUCGCACACCCUCCCUUAUCGGCCAGCUGUGUCCACAUCUGGAUCAAUACUAACCCAGGCCUUUCCUUCCAACGGGGCUUCUCCGUGUUCUCAGAAGAUGAAGAAGCAGCAAACACACUGGCUGGGCUCCCUCCCUGGAGCCCCUUCACCACCUGCCCAGUCACGGACAGCAGCGGCCGUGUUACUCCCCAGCUCAUGAACCUUCUGUGGCUCCCUGUUGUUGACAGUGAGGGUUGACACACAGACCCCGGAUACCACUGCCAGAGCUCCCAGUCAGCACAUCAUGGGUGGGAUACAGGAACUUGCACUUUUAUAAAAACUGCAGGAAAUAUGGAGGCAGGUGGUCUCUGGGUUUUCUUUGAAGGACUCCGGCUGCGGGUGAACGUUGGGACCCCAUGGAGAGCAUUUAGGGCCCUGACCCUUCUUGCUGAUUCGGUUUGACUCUGCUCCCUCCUCGGCCUCCUCCGCUUCCUCCUCGGCCUCCUCUGCUGUGGCCAAACUGCGUCUCCCCCACCCGCCUGCCCCAGUUGUUUUCUCUGGACACCUGGAAUCCUCUCUGGUUCCUGUGUGGUGCUCACUCCGUGGGAAGCAGCCCUCCCUAGACUGGGCGCCUCUGUUGCUCACACCACACCCUCUCCCAUUGCACUCAGCUGUGUGUGUACACCCCAGCCCCCCGGCUCGAACGCUUGAGGGUUGUAUCUGAUUUCUUCUGGUUUUCCUUGUCUGGUGCAUUUUGGGAGCCAGGGAUGGAGGAGAUCAGUGCAUUGGAGAAGAACCCGGGCCCUGGACCCCACGAAGAUCCACGUCAGGCCAGGUGCAUUGGAUCAGCUUCUCCACAGAGCACACACUGAUGGUGUCUUGCACUGGGGCCGUGGCGUUUCAGGUCCAGCAGCAGAGCUUCGACGUUAGCCANNNNNNNNNNNNNNNNNNNNAGAAAAAAGACCCCCCCCCCACCCCAACGUGAUAUUUUGAGGAUGGCACAGGCCUGGCCCCUAGCUGGCCCUGGGAACCGCAGAUGAGAACAUUUCAGCACCCACACCGCGCUUA